rnacentral:lncRNA from 1 species
GUGGCUUUGGGAGGAGGAUAGAAAGAUAAUGAUAUUGGUUUUGGCUACUAUUUCAUCCUAAACUACUUGUCCCUGUGGUUUUCUAAUGGCUGGAAAAUAUCUAGAUGUAAAAUGUAGUACAAAAUGUGGUCAGUACAUUCUUCAAAUACCUGAUAUAUGCAUGCAAUCUUUUUAAUCCAGUGACAUUUUACCAGACUCAGCUUGUGCAUUUCCCAGGUUUUCUUGAUGACCACUGCUAUUGUGACCUCAAUCCAAAUACUUCAUUUCAUCCUUUCCUGGGGCACAGCUUCUAUAGUGCCAUCAUAGCAGCAGGAUACUGUUCCCAAAGUCUGCCAAAGUUGGACCCAACCAACCAGAGCCCUACACCUUUGGCUUGCUUGGAAACAGGAGUAAAAAGGAAGAAGAGUGAGAGAGAAGGAAGAAAAGCCAAUGUGAGAUGCAUGAAUGAAGUCUGCACUCCAACUUUCCAGGAAGGAGCAGUGUGCUUCUCAGACUUCUCAGGACUAGGAACUCCUCAGCUCUUCCAGGCUGUGGACAGAGAAGCAUCUGAACUGACCCCACCAAGGCAGCUGGUACAAGUCCAGGGAGCACCCUGUCAGCAUGAGGGAGCCAUAUUGUCCACUACAAGGACAGCUGAGCGGACACAACAUGAAUAGCUGGAGACUCCUCUGGCCCAUUUGACCACACUCUGUGUAUUCAAAAUGAGUCAAUAUUUUGGGUUGAAGCCAUUCUGUUCAAUCAAAAUAUAAUGGUGCUGUGUUAGUCUGCUUCUCUUGCUAUAACAAAAUACCCAAAAUAAUUGACAUAUAAAGAGAAAAGGUUUAUUUGGGCUCAAAGCUUCAGUGGUUCCAGACCAUCAUCUAGUGGAGCCAUUGUUUUUGGGUCUCUGGUGGGGGCCAGGGGUUAGUAAUGUUGGGAAGCAUGUGGUGGGGCAAGACUAUUCACGUCGUGGCCAGGAGGCAAAGGAGAGAAAGGACAGGGAGGAGUCCCAUCGUUCUCUUCAACAGCAUGCC